GCACUCACUCCAGCAGCACACAUGCUAACACUGGAACGAAACAGAGAAGAUUAGCACGGCCCCUGCGCAAGGAUCACCCGCACAUUCGUGACACAUUUCACAAAAGU